CUACGGGGGACAAGCUCCGCGGAAGAGACUGGCGGUGCGUGGUGACCAGCACACAGUCAUUUCUUACCAGCUGUGUCAGAGUGAAACCUUGACGGAAGAGCCGCCGGUCUCCGCUCUCUCCCGAUGGAAACUGACGCCAGAGAUGGCCUGCACAUUCCAUUCCGUGUAUCUGCCACGUGUGUGUUAUUGUGAUCUCGGGUGUCAAAUAGGAAGAAUAUUUAAGAGAUGAUUUUUUUUAAUUACGUGUCUUCUCUCAUAGUUCAGAGCCAGCAGCUUCUUUUAACCUUUUUUCCCCUCACGAUCAUUGAGCAUUUGCUGGAUCUGGUACUCACGUGUGAACUCCUCUAACAGGCCACACAAGACUGCCUGGGUGAGUCUUUAGUUAGGACAGAUGAAUUCCUAAAGUUCUGAAAGCAGUUCUAAAAGCAGCCUCCAUCCUUGUCUUACCUUUUCUGACACGCUGGCUUCACUUUAUAGUUCACACACACACAAAAAGCAAUCUCCUUCUUUGAUGACAUGGCUCACUUUAUGAUGUAGCUGCAAGCCUCCAUCACUGGUCCCUUUAUUCAGCAAACACUUCCUGGUGGCAUGGCAGGAGCCAAGUAUUGUCCCUAGGUACUAGCGACUCGGGGUUGGACCAACGUUCAUGAUCCGCUCGAGAAGAUAAAUCUAUUAACAAGUUGUUACAGUCAACUGUGCUGCUGCUGUAAUAGAAACGGAUAGCCAGUGCCAGGGGAGGCCAGACAGGAGAGCCACUGAGAUUUAUAGAUGGCUCUACCGAGACAGUGACAUUUGAAUUAGAUCCUGAGGACUGAUUGAGACUGGCCCAGAAGAGAAACAUCCGAGGAUGAGACAGAGAUGAGUUUGUGAAAAAGCAAAAUGCGUAGAGAGGUGAACGAGCUUGGGCGCAGUCAGGGGAAAACAGCCGCUAGUGGUCAACGGACUUCAAAUCUCUGUCCCCAAACUCGUUGUUGAUCUUCAGGGGAAGUCAGUGAACGCAAGUUUCAGUUUGAGGGGGUGGGAAAUGGUUCUCUACCAAUGUGGAGACUAGAAAUAGGCAAGGUUUCAGGGUCCAUGAUUGACAGAUGAUUUGGCCUUGAGUUAGGGUAGAGUUAUGGGGCUCCGGAGGCCUGGCUGCGUCUGAGAGUCAUUAGGAGGUAAAUUUGAUUCACUCAGUGAUUGAUUAGUGUUAGAGGAAGGUCGGGGCCAAAUAUUGAGUUUUCCAGCUUUGGUGGUCAAAUGCAUGUGGUCAGAUGAAGACAAAAGUAGGAAAUUGUUGAGGUUGGGAGUCAAAUCGUGUUCAGUUGGCGAUGCUCAAGAGACGGUUUGGGGGAGGAAGCCAGAGUUUGGGUUUCAGUGGUUAUUAUCUUCUAAGGGAUAGACAGAGAGAAAAACAUUCAGCUGGAGAAUUAGGUUAUCUUUCUCAUUUGAAUAAUUGGUCAGUCUGCAGUUGUGUGGCUAAAAACUCCAUUGUCUUCUGGUAGUACAAGCCAAGAGGCCAUACAUGGAGAGAAUAUGUUAGCUGCCUCGGUAUAUGGUGCGGGCCCCAUGGAAUAAGUUGGAAACGUCCUUCCCAGGGAGAUUUCUCAAGUCCUGUGGAAGCAUGCUUCAGUCAGACGGAGUCAGUGCUCUGCUCAACCAGUCACAAGAGAAGAGAAUCGGUCACUUCUUUCCAAAUAUGGCUUUUUACAUAUUCCAAAGACAGCUCACUGCUGAUGCUGGCCUGAAGACAGUGUUACUUCGUUACCCAACUCAUGACUGACUCUCAGCUAAUCAAGCCAAUCAUAGAUACCUGGGUGAGCCCAGCUGAUAUUAGCAGAGCCUAGCUUGGGUGGACAGGAUGGCCCCUAAGCCCAGCAAACACUAUAGAUCCUCAAAUUUGUGAGCUAAAAAAGAAUUUUGUUUUUGGUGGGGGUGAUAUUUGUGUGGGGUUUUUCUUUGUAAGCCAUUUGGCUUUGGGGUGGCUUGUUAUAUAUCAAAAGCCUUCUAAUGCUGGUAUUUCCCAAGGGUUUUUCCCCCCCUAGACCCUGGUACUACUGGUGUGAGCAUGUGUGUUAUGGGUUUUAGAGUCAGUUUUCUUACACUGAGAGAUCUCAACUAGGACAUGACAUUGAUUACCAGUUUUGGAUUUUUGUGCCUGGAAAGCACAAGCGUUGGAGUUAAUUAAAUGUGUGCGUGCGUGCAUGCAUGUGCACAUGUGUGUGUGUACACACAUAUAUAAUAAAAAUAUUAUUCACUCAAAUGAAACUCACAGUGCCUUCUCGCAAUAAAAGUGUGUUUCUCUCC
rnacentral:lncRNA from 1 species